AGAGACCGGCGCACGGGUGCGUAACGCGUAUGCAAUCUGCCUUUCACAGAGGGAUAGCCCAGAGAAAUUUGGAUUAAUACCUCAUAGCAUGGCCUAAUCGCAUGAUUGGGCCAUUAAAGUCACAACGGUGAAAGAUGAGCAUGCGUCCCAUUAGCUAGUUGGUAAGGUAACGGCUUACCAAGGCGACGAUGGGUAGGGGUCCUGAGAGGGAGAUCCCCCACACUGGUACUGAGACACGGACCAGACUCCUACGGGAGGCAGCAGUGAGGAAUAUUGGUCAAUGGGCGCAAGCCUGAACCAGCCAUGCCGCGUGCAGGAUGACGGUCCUAUGGAUUGUAAACUGCUUUUGCACAGGAAGAAACAACGCUACGUGUAGCGUCUUGACGGUACUGUGAGAAUAAGGAUCGGCUAACUCCGUGCCAGCAGCCGCGGUAAUACGGAGGAUCCAAGCGUUAUCCGGAAUCAUUGGGUUUAAAGGGUCCGUAGGCGGUCUUGUAAGUCAGUGGUGAAAGCCCAUCGCUCAACGGUGGAACGGCCAUUGAUACUGCAGGACUUGAAUUAUUGGGAAGUAACUAGAAUAUGUAGUGUAGCGGUGAAAUGCUUAGAGAUUACAUGGAAUACCAAUUGCGAAGGCAGGUUACUACCAAUUUAUUGACGCUGAUGGACGAAAGCGUGGGUAGCGAACAGGAUUAGAUACCCUGGUAGUCCACGCCGUAAACGAUGGAUACUAGCUGUUGGAAGCAAUUUCAGUGGCUA
rnacentral:rRNA from 1 species